GACGAACGCUGGCGGCGUGCUUAACACAUGCAAGUCGAGCGAUGAAGUUUCUUCGGAAAUGGAUUAGUGGCGAACGGGUGAGGAACACGUGAAGAAUCUGCCCUCCACUUUGGGAUAACACCGGGAAACCGGUGCUAAUACCGAAUAUUGAAACAUAAGUGGCAUCACUGAGUUUUGAAAGAAUUUCGGUGGAGGAUGACUUCGCGGCCUAUCAGCUAGUUGGUGAGGUAAUGGCUCACCAAGGCAACGACGGGUAGCCGGCCUGAGAGGGCGACCGGCCACACUGGGACUGAGACACGGCCCAGACUCCUACGGGAGGCAGCAGUGGGGAAUAUUGGGCAAUGGAGGAAACUCUGACCCAGCGACGCCGCGUGCGGGAUGAAGGCCUUCGGGUUGUAAACCGCUUUCAGUAGGGAAGAAGCGAAAGUGACGGUACCUACAAAAGAAGCACCGGCUAACUAUGUGCC
rnacentral:rRNA from 1 species